UGGUUUCAAAAGAGUAUUGUAGACACUG
rnacentral:misc_RNA from 1 species